rnacentral:rRNA from 1 species
UGGCGGCGCGCUUAACACAUGCAAGUCUUCCGAGAACCGGGCCUUCGGGCCUGGGGAAAGCGGCGAACGGGUGAGUAACACGUGGGUAACCCACCCUUGGUACUGGGAUAGCCCGGGGAAACCCGGAUUAAUACCGGAUGGCCCAACAGCUCUUCGGGGCGGUUGGAAAAGGUAGCUUCGGCCUCCGACCAAGGACGGGCCCGCGGCGGAUUAGCUUGUUGGUGGGGUAAUGGCCCACCAAGGCGACGAUCCGUAGCUGGUCUGAGAGGACGAUCAGCCACACUGGGACUGAGACACGGCCCAGACUCCUACGGGAGGCAGCAGUGGGGAAUCUUGCGCAAUGGGCGAAAGCCUGACGCAGCGACGCCGCGUGGGGAAGAAGGCUUUCGGGUUGUAAACCCCUUUCAGGAAGGACGAAGCCACUCGGGUGAAUAGCCCAGAGGGUGACGGUACUUCCAGAAGAAGCCCCGGCUAACUACGUGCCAGCAGCCGCGGUAAUACGUAGGGGGCAAGCGUUGUCCGGAUUUAUUGGGCGUAAAGAGCGUGUAGGCGGUUUGGUAGGUCCGCUGUGAAAACUCGAGGCUCAACCUCGAGACGCCGGUGGAAACCAUCAGGCUAGAGUCCGGAAGAGGAGAGUGGAAUUCCUGGUGUAGCGGUGAAAUGCGCAGAUAUCAGGAAGAACACCCGUGGCUAAGGCGGCUCUCUAGUACGGUACUGACGCUGAGACGCGAAAGCGUGGGGAAGCGAACAGGAUUAGAUACCCUGGUAGUCCACGCCGUAAACGAUGGGUGCUA